UACAGAGGGUGCAAGCGUUAAUCGGAAUUAUUGGGCGUAAAGAGCUUGUAGGCGGUUUGUCGCGUCUGCUGUGAAAAUCCGGGGCUCAACCCCGGACUUGCAGUGGGUACGGGCAGACUAGAGUGUGGUAGGGGAGACUGGAAUUCCUGGUGUAGCGGUGAAAUGCGCAGAUAUCAGGAGGAACACCGAUGGCGAAGGCAGGUCUCUGGGCCACUACUGACGCUGAGAAGCGAAAGCAUGGGGAGCGAACAGG
rnacentral:rRNA from 1 species